AGCUUUGCACAGUGGAAGUAUCAUCGCCAAUGAGGUUUAUCCAAAGUGCCAUUAUUACUAAUUGAAAACUUUUCCCAAUACCCCACCAUGAGGAUUUGAGAUAUAGUCAGCAUUGAG
rnacentral:snRNA from 1 species